UGUGCUGAUACUCCCAACUAUACAACGUCAUGGAAUCCAAGCCCUGGGCAUCCUGGAUGCCAGGCAAAUACUUUACCCAUGGCUAAAUAGUAAACACUUGGUUUCCUGGUGACGCCAACCAGAGUAUAAGCAUUCAAAUUUCACACCACAUUUCACAGUGUGAACCAGUUCAGGCACCAGCAUGGAAUGUUCUGGUGGACAGUACAGCUACCUUAACUGCCUGUGCUCUGCUCUCUGGCUGUCUAGCUAAUGCACCCAUGGCCAGGAGCAACCCAUUUGGGUAAGAUGUCACUUGCCAGGGCCAUCCUAGGAGAGGGGAGCUUUGACAGAACUUGGAUGUUUAGUUACAGGAUUCAUGCCUCAGUGUCUCAGACAAGACCUCAGAGGGAAUAGAAGGUGCCUUCUUGUUGGAGGGUAGCCCGCAAGGCAAGUUCCCACCUUAUCUGACACUGCCUGGAGCUCUUGUCUUCUCUGAAUAGCUUAUCAUCAGGUCUGCUCAGUCCUCUGGGGAGCAGCCCCACCCUUGAUGAGCCCAGGACUGGCUGGGUAGGACUACCUCUGUUUUCUACCUCCUACCCAGCGCUUUGGAGACCAAAAGUUCAUAUUCUAAGCAACUUAUAGAAGAGGGAAACCAUCCCUCCCUUGUCGGGUCACUGGGGAGAGGGACACUGAAGCUCACAUUCACUUGGAAAGCAUCUUGCUAGGCACUGAUGACAUCAGGCAGGAUCUCCUGAUGGAGUUGGUUUCCAGCCACAGAUACUGUUCUCCCUAGCAGCUGAUGUCAACCUGAACCAACCAAUGGGGAAAGCCCUCUGAGCUUCAUUGGCCAGUGCCAACUUACUUAGGACCUUCUUGCGAAGAGCUUGGGACAAAGACCUCAGACAAGGGAUGAAAGUGAACUUGUCCUAGUUCUGAAUGGACAUAUUUUAGAGCUGACUCAGAGCCUUCUAGAGCAAGUUCUAAUGGGACCAAGUGAAAUUGCAGCAGGAAGAGGAACCAAAGUGCGCUGACUUCCCAAGAUGCGACUUCAGAACACAAGUUGAGCAGAAAAACUAACUUGGGUGGUUCUUCCUGCCUCAGAAAAGAGCAAAAUAAAAGCCACACGGUCACUGCAAUGUCAUUAAAGAUGGCGGCCUGUUUGUACCUCAGAUGGUGCUGUGGUAAAGCCCAUGUUUCUCAGUUCUGAACUGCUGAGGACAAGAACCAUGUCUCAAGCUCAACCACGGCGGGGCAGUUCAUUAAGAUGGAGACCUUGCAGCUCAUUGCUUUGGAAGAGGGAAGAUGGAGAGACAAGGAGGAAAUGGGAG